rnacentral:lncRNA from 1 species
UUUCUAUUGAAAUUAGUUAAGUAUUUUUAUAUUUUUUGAAAUGUGAAUACCAAGUACGUCUACUUCACCAUCCACCCAUUUUAUUGGUAAACACUGUAUUUUAACGAUCCAAUACGUAAUAUGGUACACUUGUUAUAAUUAGGUUUUAGUCCAGAAAAGUAAUCAGAAUCUUGAGACUAUGCAGGGAUCCAGAUUUCUAGUAUUUCAUUGGCCUUAAUUAAUAGAUAUGGAGACAACGGACAGCCUUGUUUUACUCCUCUUAAAUGCUCAAUACUUUAUGAGAAGUAACCAUUAUUUACUAUUUUACAUCUGGGGUUGCUGUACAUAACUUUAACCCCCUCACCCCUCUCUCCUGUAUAAGAGAAUCACAUAAAUUAAAGUAAUCCACGCAUUUAAAUAUAAAUUCUAGGCGUACUUUAAUAAAAUCUGCUGGUAUCUUCGAUGUUUUAUAAUAUUCAAUUGUUUCAAGUAAUUGUUGUAUAUUAUCUCCAAUAUAUAUAUUGUCCAUGGGAGAAAAAAAAAACUGGUCUGAUCAGGAUGAACAAUAUCUGGUAAAACCUUUUUUCUAUGCUAUGCCUUUCACCAGAAUUUUGUCAUUACAGGGCUGGUUAAUAGAACUCCUAUUAUGGUCUGUCUGCCUUUUGUCUUUACCACUCCAGCUCUGGAAUGGGGAGCCCCUGUUCCUGAUGGGAAUGGAGUUCCUUUCCUGAUCCUGUUACAACCAAUCAUUAUCCAGGAGCACACAGGGCCCCCCGGCUCAUGACCUUGAAUACAUAGGCCUGUGUAGAAGGAUCAGUGUGUCGGCCCGCCAUGGCUGAAGGCCUGUGUGUCGGCCCGCCAUGGCUGAAGGAUCAGCGUGUCGGCCCGCCAUGGCUGAAGGAUCAGCGUGUCGGCCCGCCAUGGCUGAAGGCCGGCAGGAGCUUUUAAGGGGGAUUAUACUGUUUUUUGGGAUAUACUGUCCAUGGUGCCCCAAAUGUUGUAUGAAGGUGGUGGAAGGUUGGCUAGAUGAUGGAGCUGGUAUCAGGAGAGCAUUGUGGGUUUUCACCUAUGACCCAGAUGUAAAUGGUAGCUGACUGCAGUGUGUCAUGUGACUGCAGUGUGUCAUGUCAUUUAAGUCAUUUAGUGUGACUGCUGUGUAUCAUAUGACUGCUGUGUGACGUUGUGUUUCUGCGAUACAGACUGAAGAAGGCAGAGGAGUGCUUCCGACAAGCCAAGGAGAAGGCUACCUACAGUGUCAAACCCAAGCAUGCCUCGGGAAUCUUUUUUUUCACAGAAAGCCAAGCUGGGCAUGAAGAUUUAAGAUUGGUGGACGUCCAUUUUUACUGUCGAGCGAGAGAGACGAGGAACAACCAAGUUGGACUGCAUCUGUCAGUCUGUCCAUCUCCCGUCCUCCUGCCUGCUCUAUGGGACCGACUCUGCAGGCUUCUGUUAUUAGCUCGUCAGACACACAAACAUCAACAUCCAAUCAGAAAGAAGAGGGAAUCACCAUGAGGUCAGAGGAUGUCAUUAUACCAGAACUAUAUUUAUAGUGUGAUUCCACAGGGACAUACUAAAGGAUGCCUGCUGUAGAGAUACCUGGA